AGUGGUAGGUUGGGGCUGUGUCCUUGCAUACCCUUUUUCCUACACAUAUUUUACAUUGGGGCUUAUUUUUAUGAAAAGCUUUCAAAAUUUCAGAUGAAGUUCUUUCUUCCUAAGAAAGCAAGUGCUGCCAGGUUUUGAAGUUUCUUGUGUCACACCGAAUACAUAUGAUGCUAAACUUACUGGGCCUUGGUUGCGGCAGUGAAGAUGUCACACUGAAUACAUAUGAUGGCCAACCUGCUGGGUUUUGGCUGCAGCAGUGUGCAACAAAGCCUACACCGAUAGAGAAAGAAGAGGCAUAUAAUGAAGGUCAUUGGAUAUUUGGUUCUUCGGAUCCUGUCAAUUAGACUGAAAGCCACGUUUGGAAUCAUCCAUUUAAGUCAACAAUGAGAGCCAACCUGCUGCUAAACGGUAUGUUCCUCUUUCCUGAGUAAGAAAAAUCAUAUUUUAUUUACAUGCACCAGUUGAUUGUAUCAGUUAACCCAAAAUUCUUAUUUUUGAGUUCAAGAAAAUAAAUGUGAUGUUUCCAAUUUGAUCGCGGAUGUUUUUAUCUUUGACACAGUUUUCUAAUACUCAUAUCGUCCUAUCUCCCUGUAGAAUUUACCCUAUCCAUAUCAGCAAGAAAUUUGAGCCAAAAUACCCCCCACCCCCCUUCCAGCCUUGCUCUAGUAUGGAAUUUCUAAAUAUUUAUAUGAAUCGUGGCAUGGUGGUUUGACACGGGAUUAUCAGUUUCUGAAUCCAAAUUUA